GGAAAUUUCUUGAAGCUUGAGAAGAUCCCCCCCGCUCCACAAAAAAAAAAAAGGAAUAGAGAGCAACAAAUGGUGGUAUAUUUCUUUUAGUGGUGCAAGGUUCUAGAAUAGAUGCUCAGAAGGGAAAUGAUAAAGGCAUUGAGUGAGUUUGAGCCUACCCUUGUGCUUGGCCUUUGGGGUCCUUCCUUUGGAAAAAGGUUGAGGGUGGGGGGAGAGACACU
rnacentral:lncRNA from 1 species